rnacentral:rRNA from 1 species
AAACCAGCACCUCAAGUGGUCAGGAGGAUUAUUGGGCCUAAAGCAUCCGUAGCCUGCUCUAUAAGUUUCCGGUUAAAUCCAUUUGCUCAACAAAUGGGCUGCCGGAAAUACUGUAGAGCUAGGGAGUGGGAGAGGUAGACGGUACUCGGUAGGAAGGGGUAAAAUCCUUUGAUCUAUUGAUGACCACCUGUGGCGAAGGCGGUCUACCAGAACACGUUCGACGGUGAGGGAUGAAAGCUGGGGGAGCAAACCGGAUUAGAAACCCCAGUAGUCC